rnacentral:rRNA from 1 species
AACGAACGCUGGCGGCAUGCCUAUCACAUGCAAGUCGAACGAGCCCUUCGGGGUUAGUGGCGCACGGGUGCGUAACGCGUGGGAAUCUGCCCUUGGGUUCGGAAUAACAGUGAGAAAUUACUGCUAAUACCGGAUGAUGUCUUCGGACCAAAGAUUUAUCGCCCAAGGAUGAGCCCGCGUAGGAUUAGCUAGUUGGUGGGGUAAUGGCCUACCAAGGCGACGAUCCUUAGCUGGUCUGAGAGGAUGAUCAGCCACACUGGGACUGAGACACGGCCCAGACUCCUACGGGAGGCAGCAGUGGGGAAUAUUGGACAAUGGGCGAAAGCCUGAUCCAGCAAUGCCGCGUGAGUGAUGAAGGCCUUAGGGUUGUAAAGCUCUUUUACCCGGGAUGAUAAUGACAGUACCGGGAGAAUAAGCUCCGGCUAACUCCGUG